rnacentral:rRNA from 1 species
AGCGAACGCUGGCGGCAGGCCUAACACAUGCAGGUCGAACGAAGCCUUCGGGCUUAGUGGCGGACGGGUGAGUAACACGUGGGAACGUACCUUUUGGGUCGGAACAACUCAGGGAAACUUGAGCUAAUACAGGAUGAGCCCUUAGGGGGAAAGAUUUAUCGCCGAAAGAGCGGCCCGCGUUAGAUUAGCCAGUUGGUGAGGUAAAGGCUCACCAAGGCUACGAUCUAUAGCUGGUCUGAGAGGAUGAUCAGCCACACUGGGACUGCAGACACGGCCCAGACUCCUACGGGGGGCAGCAGUGGGGAAUCUUGCGCAAUGGGCGAAAGCCUGACGCAGCCAUGCCGCGUGAAUGAUGAAGGUCUUAGGAUUGUAAAAUUCUUUUACCAGGGACGAUAAUGACGGUACCUGGAGAAAAAGCCCCGGCUAACUUCGUGCCAGCCGCCGCAGUAA